ACAUCUUUUCUUUAUCCUCCAAGUCUCCAUCUUCUUCCCUGUUCAACACUCGCUUUCUUUACCCUCUCACAAUACUCUUUCUCUCAUCAGUUCUUUGGGGUUCCUUUAGGGUUAUUAUUCCUUUCAUACAUACAUACUUUUGUUGCUGGUUUUGUAAUAUAAAAGCAGGUAAAAAGGGAGCUUUCUUCAGUCCACUCAUGGGUGGCGAGAUGGGAUUUCAAUUAGCUGCCGACUCAUUCAUCCAAAUACGGUGUUAUAAAAAGGACGAUAUAUCUCAGCAAAUAUAUGCUCUGUAAAUGAGUGAAUGAUGCGGGAGACAAAUUGAAUCUUAAACUUCCUAUGCUUGGACUGAAGGGAGCUCCCUCUGCUCUUCUUUUAUCCAUUCCUUAUUUCUUGUUCAUGUCACAAAAAGGUUGUAAUGGCUGGCUGGGGUUAAUUACUGAUAAACUGUUGGUUUUUACAACUUGAACGGGCAGCUUUCGAAUCUUUGACACAAACAAGUUUUAGGGUUUAUGAUUGUGAAGGAGAAGUUGCAAUUUAUUGUUCAAAGCAACCUAAAAUGGCAACGCAUGGGAAAGGACAAAAAACAUAUUGGGUAGUGCUCUUGUACAGCCACAAGUUCCUAGAGAGAUGUCCCUCCAGUUCAUGUGUAAUUACCUAAGAUAUCCAUUUAUUGUAUAUUCUGAAUUUUAGUGCAAUUUAACUUUGUAUUAGUUUCAUUCUAGGUUACACAAACAUGAUUGUAUUAUAAUUGUUAAAAAAUUAUAAUUUAACAUAAAAAAACAAAUAUUACUAUAAAAA